rnacentral:rRNA from 1 species
UACGUAGGGUGCGAGCGUUGUCCGGAAUUAUUGGGCGUAAAGAGCUCGUAGGCGGCUUGUCGCGUCGGAUGUGAAAGCCCGGGGCUUAACUCCGGGUCUGCAUUCGAUACGGGGAGGCUAGAGUUCGGUAGGGGAGAUCGGAAUUCCUGGUGUAGCGGUGAAAUGCGCAGAUAUCAGGAGGAACACCAGUGGCGAAGGCGGCAUUCUGGACCAAUACUGACGCUCAUGCACGAAAGCGUGGGGAGCAAACAGG